rnacentral:rRNA from 1 species
GACGAACGCUGGCGGCGUGCUUAACACAUGCAAGUCGAACGGUGAAGCCCUUCGGGGUGGAUCAGUGGCGAACGGGUGCGUAACACGUGAGCAACCUGCCCCUGGCUCUGGGACAACCACUGGAAACGGUGGCUAAUACCGGAUACGACCCGCCUCGGCAUCGAGUGUGGGUGGAAAGUUUUUCGGCUGGGGAUGGGCUCGCGGCCUAUCAGCUUGUUGGUGAGGUGAAGGCUCACCAAGGCGACGACGGGUAGCCGGCCUGAGAGGGCGACCGGCCACACUGGGACUGAGACACGGCCCAGACUCCUACGGGAGGCAGCAGUGGGGAAUAUUGCACAAUGGGCGAAAGCCUGAUGCAGCGACGCCGCGUGAGGGAUGACGGCCUUCGGGUUGUAAACCUCUUUCAGCCCCGAAGAAGCGAAAGUGACGGUAGGAGCAGAAGAAGCACCGGCUAACUACGUG